UACGUAGGUGGCAAGCGUUGUCCGGAUUUACUGGGCGUAAAGAGCGCGCAGGCGGUCGUUCAAGUCGCGUGUGAAAGCCCCCGGCUCAACUGGGGAGGGUCACGCGAUACUGAUCGACUCGAAGGCAGGAGAGGGUAGUGGAAUUCCCGGUGUAGUGGUGAAAUGCGUAGACAUCGGGAGGAACACCAGUGGCGAAGGCGACUACCUGGCCUGUUCUUGACGCUGAGGCGCGAAAGCUAGGGGAGCAAACGGG
rnacentral:rRNA from 1 species